rnacentral:sRNA from 1 species
UUGCUAUCUGCGAUUUGAAAGAUUCGAGCCAGCAGCAGGUUCGAGCCGAACGAAGUGAGGCACCGGAGCCACUGGCGACGGCCCGAAGGGUGAGCAACGUGAAUCAUCCUGCACGACCUACUA